rnacentral:rRNA from 1 species
UACGAAGGGGGCUAGCGUUGUUCGGAAUUACUGGGCGUAAAGCGCGCGCAGGCGGCCAUUCAAGUCAGGUGUGAAAUUUCGGAGCUUAACUCCGAAACUGCAUUUGAUACUGCGGUGCUUGAGGACUGGAGAGGAGACUGGAAUUUACGGUGUAGCAGUGAAAUGCGUAGAUAUCGGGAGGAAUACCAGUGGCGAAGGCGGCUUCCUGGCCUGUUCUUGACGCUGAGGCGCGAAAGCUAGGGUAGCAAACGGG